rnacentral:misc_RNA from 1 species
AACUUUCGGCAAUGGAUCUCUUGGCUCUCGCAUCGAUGAAGAACGCAGCGAAAUGCGAUACGUAAUGUGAAUUGCAGAAAUCAGUGAAUCAUCGAAUCUUUGAACGCAUAUUGCGCUCUUUGGUAUUCCGAAGAGCAUGCUUGUUUGAGUAUUAGUAAACACCUCAACCUCCUCUUGUUUUUUCAAAAGGAGGGUGGACUUGAGCUAUCCCAACAACCUUCACCGGUAGGCGGGCGGCUUGGAAUGCAGGUGCAGAUAAAAUUUUAUUUGAGCUAAAAGCAUAUCUAUUUAGUCCUCGUCAAACAGAAUUAUUACUAUUGCUGGAGCUAACAUAAAGGAUAAUUGUCCUCAUUGCUGACUGAUGCAGGAUUUUACGACACUUUAUGUGUUGUUCAACUCGAUCUAUAAUCAAGUAAGACUUCACGCUGACCUUAAGCAUAUCAAUAAGCGGAGGCU